AUUGAACGCUGGCGGCAGGCCUAACACAUGCAAGUCGAGCGGAUGAAGGGAGCUUGCUCCUGGAUUCAGCGGCGGACGGGUGAGUAAUGCCUAGGAAUCUGCCUGGUAGUGGGGGAUAACGUCCGGAAACGGGCGCUAAUACCGCAUACGUCCUGAGGGAGAAAGUGGGGGAUCUUCGGACCUCACGCUAUCAGAUGAGCCUAGGUCGGAUUAGCUAGUUGGUGGGGUAAAGGCCUACCAAGGCGACGAUCCGUAACUGGUCUGAGAGGAUGAUCAGUCACACUGGAACUGAGACACGGUCCAGACUCCUACGGGAGGCAGCAGUGGGGAAUAUUGGACAAUGGGCGAAAGCCUGAUCCAGCCAUGCCGCGUGUGUGAAGAAGGUCUUCGGAUUGUAAAGCACUUUAAGUUGGGAGGAAGGGCAGUAAGUUAAUACCGUGCUGUUUUGACGUUACCAACAGAAUAAGCACCGGCUAACUCCGUGC
rnacentral:rRNA from 1 species